UACGUAGGGCGCAAGCGUUGUCCGGAAUUAUUGGGCGUAAAGAGCUCGUAGGUGGUUUGUUACGUCUGCUGUGAAAACCUAGGGCUUAACUCUGGGCGUGCAGUGGGUACGGGCAGGCUAGAGUGCGGUAGGGGAGACUGGAAUUCCUGGUGUAGCGGUGAAAUGCGCAGAUAUCAGGAGGAACACCGGUGGCGAAGGCGGGUCUCUGGGCCGUAACUGACGCUGAGGAGCGAAAGCAUGGGGAGCGAACAGG
rnacentral:rRNA from 1 species